rnacentral:rRNA from 1 species
UGAGGAAUUUUGCGCAAUGGGCGAAAGCCUGACGCAGCGACGCCGCGUGAAGGAUGAAGGCUUUAGGGUCGUAAACUUCUGUCGAUUGGAAAAAAAUAAGUAGUGUUAAUAGCACUGCAAGAUGAUGGUACCAGUCAAGAAAGCACCGGCUAACUUCGUGCCAGCAGCCGCGGUAAUACGAGGGGUGCGAGCGUUAUUCGGAAUUAUUGGGCGUAAAGGGUGCGCAGGCGGCAUAUUAAGUCAAUUGUUUAAUUUCCCGGCCUAACCGGGAGUCAGCAGUAGAAACUGAUAAGCUUGAGUGUGGAAGAGAGAAGUGGAAUUCUCGGAGUAGCGGUAAAAUGCGUAGAUCUCGAGAGGAACACCGAUGGCGAAGGCAGCUUCUUGGUCCAUCACUGACGCU